CAGCAGCCACGGUAAUACGUAGGUGGCAAACGUUGUCCGGAAUUAUUGGGCGUAAAGGGCUCGCAGGCGGUUUCUUAAGUCUGAUGUGAAAGCCCCCGGCUCAACCGGGGAGGGUCAGUGGAAACUGGGAAACUUGAGUGCAGAAGAGGAGAGUGGAAUUCCACGUGUAGCGGUGAAAUGCGUAGAGAUGUGGAGGAACACCAGUGGCGAAGGCGACUCUCUGGUCUGUAACUGACGCUGAGGAGCGAAAGCGUGGGGAGCGAACAGGAUUAGAUACCCGUGUAGUCCCUGUCUCUUAUAC
rnacentral:rRNA from 1 species